AUUGAACGCUGGCGGCAGGCCUAACACAUGCAAGUCGAACGAUUGGCGGACGGGUGUGUAAUUUCUGGGAAACUUCCUGAUGGAGGGGGAUAACUCCUGGAAACGCUAGCUAAUACCGCAUACCAUCGGUUGUGACCAGAUGGGAUUGGCUCGUAGCGGGGGUAAAGGCUCACCUAGGCGACGAUCCCUAGCUGGUCUGAGAGGAUGACCAGCGACACUGGAACUGAGACACGGUCCAGACUCCUACGGGAGGCAGCAGUGGGGAAUAUUGCACAAUGGGCGCAAGCCGGAUGGAGCCAUGCCGCGUGUAUGAAGAAGGCCUUCGGGUUGUAAAGUACUUUCAGCGGGGAGGCGUUGCCCGAAGAAGAAGCACCGUCUAACUCCGUGCCAGCAGCCGCGGUAAUUC
rnacentral:rRNA from 1 species